ensembl:lncRNA
CCUAUAGUUAAGUAUCCCACAAGCCAAUGCAUCUCUUCACGUAAACUGCAGCUUUCACCUUUCUGUUAGAAUGUUCCCUUCACUAGAUUUUCCCUGACCAUAACGGGUCAUAGUAGCCCACCACAGAAUAUUUAUGGAGAGUAGCAAAGCAAAAUAUUAAUACACAUAUAUUGCUCACAUCUCCCAAUAAAAAGCUCUAAGGCAGAAAUAGUGUUUAUCUUGUCUUCCAGGUGAUGGGUGAAUGUAUCUUGCGUGUUGAGCACUGUGACAGAGAACUUGACCCAUGGAGGGCAUACAAAUAAGAUUGCAAGAAGACCUGUCAGAGUUAUGGAAAUGAAAGGGGUGCCUCAGCUGGAUGACCCAAAGUGACCUCAUGUACUUCCGGGCGUUGGUGCUGUCAGCUGGAGCACAGGCUCUAGGACAUUUGGGCUUCAGUAGCUUGUAGGCUCUAGAGCACAGCCUGAGGCUUGUGACCCUCAGGCUUACUUGCCCUGCGGCAUGUGGGAUCCUCCCAGACCAAGGAUUGAGCUCAUGUCUCCUGCAUUGGCACGUGGAUUCCUUACCACUGAACCACCAGGUAAGCCCUAGAUUUUACUCUUGAUGGGAGAAUGGUCCAGGCACAUUGCAAAGGGUAUAUGGUUCUGCUUUUUGAAAGAAGCCAGAUACAAAAGAGUAUAUUAUAUGUGAUUCUAUUUGUGUGAAUUUCUGGAAAAGGUAAACUUAUCUAGGGGGUGGAAAAAAGCAUAUGAUUGCCAAGAAGUAUGAGCAAACAUUGGGGGACAAUAGAAAUAUUCUGUACCUUGAUUGUGGUGGUAUAUGGGCUUCCCAGGUGGCUCAGUGUUAAAGAAUCCCACCUGCCAAUGUAGGAGACAUGGGUUCGAGCCCUGGGUAAGGAAGAUAUCCUGGAGAAGGAAAUGGCAUCCCACUCCAGUAUUCUUGCCUGGCAAAUUCCAUGGACAGAGGAGCCUGGUGGGCUACAGUCCAUGGGGUCGCAAAAGAGUCGGACAUGACUAAGUGACUAGAACAACAGUAUACACAGGGGACAUUUGUCAAAAUGUAUGCACUUUAUUAUAACUAUGAGGUAUAUCCAAAAAAAGUAGGAUAUAGGAGGAACUGUGGAACCAUCUUAACCUCUGAAGAUCAUCUGGUCCAGUGUCUUUACAGACAAAGUGAGGCCCAGAAAGAGGAACUUUCUGUAUCCUUUCUGCCAAAGGAUACUCUGUUAGUGAUAAAACCAGGAUUGCAAUCCAGGCUUCUAACCACAGUCUUCCUCUGAGAAGAUUGGGGAAAAGGAUGCCCCAAGCCUGGGUUUCACUGACUCACUUAGAUGUAAGCAUGUCUGGGAGUGAAGGAUGAGAGCUAUCAGUGUCCCUUUGCAUUCUAGAAUUUUCCAGGGAUCUCCAGUGCUCAGAUUUCUGUGCUCUUUUUCUAGUUCUGAGGGACUGUAGACAAGUUCCUAUAACUCCUCUGUUAAGUCAGUACCUGUAAUAAAGGUGAAUGGAGCAAUAUUUAUACAUAGAUUCAAACACCAUGUGUAAAGAAAUAAGAGAAGAGCAGCUAUGCCACGCCACUUUUGUCUACAGUGCUGUCUCUGAGUUUCCUACAAGGGUGCUGGUAAAGAGUAAAGAGGGCCGUGGAACUAGAGAAGCAACAUUAUUCACUUAGGUUUUACUUAAAUUAAUAAAUCCACCUUUCAGGCUCAUAAGAGUUAUUGCUAGCUUUCAUGAAGUGCUCCAUAGAGUAAGAUAAGUUGAAAUAGUGAAAAAUAGUGUUUCCACUCAUAGUAACAUGCAAAUGUUAGGACAUAUGUAGGGAAUUUGAAAAAAUGAGUACAGCUCAUUCUCUACCUUUAAUAUACUAUCCUUACUCAGAAAAAAAAUGAUUUCAAACCUCAUCCAAAGUGUCUCAGACAUUUGUCAGAUGUAUCCAACUUCUCUGGAUGUCAAAGAACCUUUUAAAAAUUAUCUACAAGAGACGACAGAACACUUUGGGCUGAAAUUAUUUGUGGCCAAUACAUCAAAGAGCAACACCAUGCUGAUCUUGAGCAAUUACCUAGAGAAUUACAGACUUGAACUGUGGAGGGUAUCUGAACUUUUUGCUAACACUAAGUCUCUUUUGAAAUUAGUUACCAUAGCACUAAACAUGAGUAAUUCAGCAAGGAAGCCUUUUUAAAGUGAGAACAUCACUCUGAUAGAUUCCUGAAGCUUGGAGUUUUCUUCAUUUUAGUUUUAGGUUGUUGUCAUUUCCCCAUUUUUCUAUUACUGUAUAAUAAGAAUUAUUAUAUAGUAAGCAUCUUAUUAAGUGAGGGGAUGCUAAUUUGCAUCUUGAACUUGUGGUUUCUGUCUCAAAGCUGCUGUUUGGGAGGAGCCUGUUAUUUCACUGACUUGAAGGCCAGUUGCAGUAUAACUCUCCUGGCCUAACAUUAAUGCCAGGUGGGAAGUGAUGCAUUUAUGGAAAUAAUUCAAGCCAAAGAAAUCUACUCUUGUUUGGAUUACCCCAGCUGGGCAGUGCUCUGCUCCUGAAUGGAUUCCCCUUGGGUUAAUUUGGGUUAAAGAGGGCAGAGCAGUAUGGGAUAUAAGGAAAUCAGCCCCGAGCUCUCUUGGAGUCUAACCCGGCAAUCUCACAAAACUUAGCUUGGUCUAAGCCAGACAGACAUUCCCAGCCAAAGACCUUUUGAAAAGUUAUACUUUCACUCCAUGGCUGCCAUGUUUUGAAAUAUCUGGAUUACCUAACAUGUAGUGUUAUUCAUAAACUUUUACCCAGGUCCACACACAUUUUUUUCCUAGGUAGUGUUAGUGGUAAAGAACCUGCCUGUGGGUUCAGUCCCUGGGUCAGGAAGAUCUCCUGGUGGAGGGCAUGGGAUUCUCUUGCCUGGAGAAUCCCAUGGACAGAGGACCCUGGUGGGCUACAGUCCAGGUCACAAAGAGUUGGACAACUGAGUGACUAACACUACUACUACUAUUAUGCGCACUUUGGUAAGGACUUUUUCUAUAGCACAGGAACGGUGUACAGAUCAUCAGUACUACCUUAAGAGCUCAGGAACUCAGCAUGAUAGGAAACUCAUGAGGAAGGUGAACCAAGACUUCUGGGUUUUCUACAUCCCUACCAACCUGGCUUCUACUUCCCUCCAUCACAGCUAUUCCUCUGGAAUCAAUGGUUGUUUUAAUCACCUCCUAUUCAAUGCCAUUGGUGAGAGAGAGUUUCACCCUAGAGUUUCGGGGAUGGCCAGACACACAACCCCUGACUCUGGGCAGAUGAGAUUGACAGCAGUUUAUUGGUCAUCUACACUCACAGCCAUGGGGAGGAGGACACCGCACAGGGCCACAUAAAGGUUGCACCUGGGGAUGGAGCUGUGCAUAGGGUGGGGAGCAGGCUUUUUUGUAGUAUCAAGAGGGCAAAGUGCCCUCUGAUUUCCAUAAAAGGAUGUGACUAGCUUAUUUGAAUUCUCAGGGAUGGGAGGCAGGGAACUGAAAUCUACUGUUUAGGGAUUAGCACCUGGUCCAGUUAAUGAGGGUUGUUGGGCUGGGGGACCUUGUCUUUUGGAGCAGAGUGGGGAAGGGGACUUGUGGUUAGCCAUUAGAGGUCUCCCAAUUUUUCCCUGGAUGUCAAGACAUACCUGAUAUUGGGCCUUAGUUUCAGGACUCAAUGCCACAAUAGCCAUGUAGGAUAUUAUAUCUAGACCACCACCUACAGUGCCCUCUAGUAACUGGGCCAGGGUGUGGUGGUGGAUGGGGAAAGGUGGAGUGACACAAAGGAUGCAGACCAAGCUUUUCUAGUUAAUCCUUUCAGGUAGUCACAUUGUAAAUGCUCACUGAAUAUCUUUCUGUGCCAGCACUCCCGGCCCUAAGGCUUAAAGGUGAAUGGAACACAGUCCUAUUUUGGAAAAGUCAAAUGGAGAAACAGAGGACUUCAACAGAUGGUCAUAACAGAGUGAAAGAAGUAGGAGCCAAAAUGUGUACAUGUGCUGUGAGAGCACAGUGUUGAGGGCAGGUCAUCCAGGGAUGAGGACCAGUGAGCUGGCCUUGAAGAUGAGGAGGAGUUUGCCAGUUGGAGAAGGGAGAGAUGGGAGCUUCUUAGCAGAGGAAUCAAAGGAGUAAAUGAUCAUGACGUGUUAAAAAUAAGUGACAAAUAGUCCAGCAGUCGGGGGUGGAGGGGAUGUUGUUAGUGAUUAGAGUGGUAUUGACACAGUCUCAGAGGGGCAGCCUGGGAGAAACCAGGAACACUGUACCUAGAGGGCUGCCCUAGCUUUCUGCUUCUUUCAUAUUCCUUCCCCCACAUUUCCCUCCAGUUCUCUUUCUCCUGCAGGCAUCUUCUCAUAUUGCAGAAUCAGAUUCUGCCCUUAUUGGGAGCCAGGGCAGAUAGGAGCAAGAUGAGAGGAAUGUGCCGAAGGGACCAGAAUAAACUGUACUUCCCUGACCAUCUCACCAAAGGCUGCCUCUGAAUACAUGUGUAAAAUAUUGUGCCAGUUUCAACAUGUCAAAGGUCCCAGGCACAGGCCAGGCCAGCUGGGUGCUGCCCAAGCUUUGUCAUGAGUGCUCAGAUCUCCUGAGCUCUCUCUCCUUCUGCUGCUUUUGGAAUCUUUUCCAUGUUCAGCUCCUGCUCUCCCUGGCUGCGAUGACCAAUUCUGUAAAAGACUCCUCUAGAGACUAAUUUUCCUAGAGCAGAAAUAGGGGAGAGGUGGUUCAAGGUAUUUGAAUCCAGGUCAGGAACUCUGCUAUCAGCAGUCCUACCUUAGCAGAUAGAUCUCUGAGCUGUGUUUAUUUCCUUAUACAAUUUUCUACUUUCAG